UGGAAGUGGUGUGAGCCAUUAAGCUAACUUGUACUAAUUACCCGUGAGGCUUAACCAUACAACGCCAAACGCGUUU
rnacentral:rRNA from 1 species